UCCAAAUCGAAACGUGUGUUUAUUUCAAGGCUGUAGUUUUGUGGGAUUUCAACGACACCACAUCUAGAAACAGAAAUCAUAUUUAACACGGAGCACAAUGCACAGAACAGUCUAUCGGCACUAACAGAUUUGACUGGGGCAAACCUUCCUCCCUGAAGUAACCCACGACGUAUGAACUUAGAUUUCGCAAAGUAAAACAUGCCAUUUUCUACCAGUUCACCAGGCCAGUCUUGUCUCCUUGGUCUUCGUUUUGGAUUAAAGUUCAAUGGUUUAACGGUCCCAUCUGAAAAUAAUCCGUGUCGCAAAUGAACACUAUUGUUAAUAUUGUACAUCCGUCGUAAGCUAGGAAAUGGUUUACAGAGUUUCAACAUUGACGACUGAAAUGAAGCAAUCUAUUUCUUUAAUUCUGCAUGAAGAACGUACAAGCCAGUCGAUUUUUCUUCCCUGCAUGAAAAACGUCUCACAAAGAACAAAUGCGCUUUCAUAUUUACGAAAUCAUGUUGCCCAUCGUAAUUUAUCGGUGGUUAUUUUAGCAACUGCAUAACUGACUUGCAAGUCCCAAACUUUUACACGAACAUUUCACAAAAACAUUACACACAGUAAAAAUUUACAGUUCUGUCAAAUUCAUGAAAGGGCGGAAACAUCUUAAACCAAUACCUACAUGUACCAUCUGUAACAGCGUGCAUUACAUAAGAUGCUCUGCAUGUAGACUAUGAUUAAAAUGAAUCACAGGGCAAAGGCUACAAAUUGCAAGGCAGAACAACGAAUUGUAAAGGGAAAGAAAGAUAUCACGUUUGCAGGAUACGAAAAUAACUAGGCCUAAUCCUGGGGAACUAAACUUAUACCUGUAAUCACAUAUACUCUGAAAAUAUAUUUAAUGUGUGUUCCUUUUUCUCUGUAAGGAAAUGCUUUUUCAGUCUUCAUGAUCAAUUUCUUCAAAACUUCUUACUGUAUGAUAAAUUCUGUAGUCCUGGCCACAUUAAUUGACACUGGCUUUUUGCCUUAGAUGGAGAGGGUAUUAAACACUCACAUCAGUGGUGAUUUUGUUCUAGUUUUAUUUGCCAGCAAGAUUUUGGAGCCAACUAAAUUGGUCAUUAAGUUGUUCUCCUAGCUACGCAACAUAAUACAGUUACAGAACUAUUGCAGGUCCAGCCUUUCUACAGUCGAAGCGGUUGAGAGGAUAUCAUAUAGCAGUUUUGGAAAUAUGAAAGAAUCCGUGCACCACUGUUGUGCCUGAAGCAGUACUGUAUGGAGAUGAUAAUACUUACCACAUGUGAUACCAACUUUGAAAAUGUGCAACAGUGUGGUGGUAGUGAUGGAGAGAGAGUACAACUAGUGUCACACAACUACACAACAGAAAAUGAUAGUAAAACUGACUAAUUAUAUCCAGUUUGGCUGUUCAGUCAUGGUGAAAAACUAUUUAGCACAUAAAACAAAAGCUGAGCUGAUUUGUGCACAAAGGAAAAUUAUGUGCAUUCAAGGAAAGCUGAGAAGGAGGUGUCAGCAAAGAAUUACUACUUGUAUAAACAUGAUUUGCAUUAUUCCAUUUUCACUUGAGUCAUGGAAGACUACUUUUAGUAUGCAGCAACAUUGGAGGCCAAAUAUUUGUGUUUAAAUGCUAAAAGAAAGUAAUCAGGUGCAUUGUAGGACUAAGCACACACGAAACAUGUAGAGACUAUUUCAAACAACUGAACAUAAUAUAGUUCUUUGCAUGUAUAGCUGCUUGUCUUUGGUAAAGAAACCAAGUAUGUUUGAUCUAAGGAGGUCAAUGCAAUUAGGCACUGAAUUAACAUUCCUUAUGCCAGGCCGGAAAUGACCGAUAACAGCUACAAACAUCUUAAGUCUUAUCUAUUUCAACAAAUAACUUUAGUGCCUACAUAAUACCAUUAAACAAAUUUAAAACUGUCGCAAAAUGGGCAAAAAACAAACAAUUUUAUUCAGCUCAAGACUUCCAGAAGCAU